GGAUCUGUUAUUCUUUUCUUCCUGUCUUCUUUAGUUUUCUUUAAAAUCAUAAGACAAAGUAGGGACUCUUUGCCUUAUGGAGGAUUCCUCCGCUUGACCAGCUCUGACCAGCGGAGGAGCAAAGUGUGCUUCAUUUCCGCUGGUCAGAGCAAUUUUCCCAUGAUCCCUAGCUUUCCUCUGUGAUCCCACAAUGCUUCCUGUCACUUUACACUAAACUGCC
rnacentral:lncRNA from 1 species